AGUGAACGCUGGCGGUAGGCCUAACACAUGCAAGUCGAACGGCAGCACAGUAAGAGCUUGCUCUUAUGGGUGGCGAGUGGCGGACGGGUGAGGAAUACAUCGGAAUCUACUUUUUCGUGGGGGAUAACGUAGGGAAACUUACGCUAAUACCGCAUACGACCUACGGGUGAAAGCAGGGGAUCUUCGGACCUUGCGCGAUUGAAUGAGCCGAUGUCGGAUUAGCUAGUUGGCGGGGUAAAGGCCCACCAAGGCGACGAUCCGUAGCUGGUCUGAGAGGAUGAUCAGCCACACUGGAACUGAGACACGGUCCAGACUCCUACGGGAGGCAGCAGUGGGGAAUAUUAGACAAUGGGCGAAAGCCUGAUCCAGCCAUGCCGCGUGGGUGAAGAAGGCCUUCGGGUUGUAAAGCCCUUUUAUUGGGAAAGAAAAGUAGCAGAUGAAUACCCCGCUGUUCUGACGGUACCCAAAGAAUAAGCACCGGCUAACUUCGUG
rnacentral:rRNA from 1 species